GUCUUCCUCAACGAGAGAUAGCCAUGUCAGGGUAGCCCAGUCAUUUUUUUGUGUUCACCUUACUGGUCUUCUGCUAUAGUUUGUUACCUGGACACUGUAGCGGCUGUCCACUUUCUGUAGUGUAUGUGUUCUCCCUAAUACGACUCUUCCUUUCUCCUGGAUCUAUACACCGCUGACACUUCAUCUUCCUAAAGUGCAAUUUGCAUCACAUCACUCUCCUCAGAAACUUUCAGAGGCAAAUUCAGGAUGGAAGAGGAAAGCACAGUAAAGGUUCCUGCUCAAGUUUUCCCCAUUUCCUCUGCCUCCUGACAAACCCCAGUGGUUGCCCAUGUGGCCCUACGUGGUGGCCAUGCCUUCUGUUUCCAGGGAUCUAUGGAGUUUUGCUCUGUCGCCCAGGCUGGAGUGCAGUCGUGUGAUCUCAGCUCACUGCAGCCUCUGCCUCCUGGAUUCAAGUGAUUCUCCUCAUAGUACAAGUCACCAAUGUUAGAAAUAAAAAAGUGUUCUUUAUACAUUAAAAAGAUAAAAACAGGAUAUUAUAAAUAAUUUAAAAGAUAAAAUUCAAAAUUUGGAGAAAUUCCUUUUGAAAUGCAUCUCACCAAAAACGGACACAAGAAGAAACAGAAAAUCUGAAUAACUAAAUUCUUACUAAAAAGCUGAAAUCCAGUGUUAAAAACUUCCACAAAACAACUCCAGACCCACAGGACCUCAUUACUACACUCUUCCAAAUAUUUAAGAAAGAAAUAACACUGUUUUUCCUAUAAACUUUUUCAGGGAAUAAAAAGGGAAUAUUUCCCAACUCUUUUUAUGAAAACAUUAUAAUUAGAUAAAAACAUCACCAAAAAAAAUUUACAGACAAAUUUCCCUUAAGCAUAGGUGCAAAAAUCAUAAACAAAAUAACAGCAUAUGAAACAUA
rnacentral:lncRNA from 1 species